CCUACGGGAGUCCCCCGUGAGGAAUAUUGGUCAAUGGCCGUCACGCUGAACCAGCCAAGUAGCGUGAGGGAAGACUGCCCUAUGGGUUGUAAACCUCUUUUAUGCGGGGAUAAAGGUGUCCACGUGUGGAUGUUUGCAGGUACCGCAUGAAUAAGGACCGGCUAAUUCCGUGCCAGCAGCCGCGGUAAUACGGAAGGUCCGGGCGUUAUCCGGAUUUAUUGGGUUUAAAGGGAGCGUAGGCCGGUCUUUAAGCGUGCCGGGAAAUUUUGUGGCUCAACCAUGAGAGUGCGGCGCGAACUGGAGACCUUGAGUGCGCGGAAGGCAGGCGGAAUUCGUGGUGUAGCGGUGAAAUGCUUAGAUAUCACGAAGAACCCCGAUUGCGAAGGCAGCCUGCCGCAGCGUUACUGACGCUGAAGCUCGAAAGCGCGGGUAUCGAACAGGAUUAGAUACCCCAGUAGUC
rnacentral:rRNA from 1 species